AGCCCCGGAGCCUUUAUGGCUCUUUUUCAAACUUGCAUUUUGACGUGAAAUCACUACAAGGCUUU
rnacentral:tRNA from 1 species